GCAGCAAAAGCCAUCACGUCCCAAGAGAUCACGCAGUUGAUGGUGCUGGAACAAUUCUACCAAUGUUUGUCAGAAGAUCUACAGAUCUGGGUAAGAGAUCGUAAACCCCGUACGCUGCAAGAGGCCGCUAAGUUAGCAGAUGAGCAUCAGGACACCCGGCGGGAACAGCACUCAUCUACUAGAGUGCAAUCCACGCCAAACGUUCCCCGACUUCCCCCAGUAGAUUCACCCCGACCAGGGGGGACCUACCAGUCACAACCCCCCCGGUACAACAACAGGGCAUCUAUCCGGUGCCAUACCUGUAACCAGCUUGGGCAUAUGCAACGAGACUGUCCCCGAAACCGGGCCAGGCCGGCCUGGACCCCUCCACGACCACCAACCACCCCUGGAGCCGCAGUCCACUGCUAUCAGGCCAGAGCAUUGGCUCAACCUUUCACCCCUACCCAAAUAGAGGAACCCUUGGGCACCCUCCAUGAGGUAAACCCGGUACAGGCGGCAUCCGACAAGUGGUCCACGUGGAGGGAAAGCGGAUGGAGGGAUUACGAGAUUCUGGGGCCACCAUCACUCUGAUACGGAAUCAUUUAGUGGCCCCGAACCAUCUCACUGGAGACUGUAUUGCGGUUAGGGUGGCAGGGG